rnacentral:lncRNA from 1 species
UCAGUUAAGUUUUUAAUUUAGUCAUUUAAGUUAAAUCAUUUUACAUCGUUAGUUAUUUGUCUCACCUUAAACAACAUUAGUACAAUUGAAAGUAUCUUAUCAUUCGAAAUUCUAUAAAAUAUGGCAACAAUAAAUCACUCAUAUUAAUACUUUAGAAAACAAUCAUCAAAUGUUAUAAACAGCCUAUAUCUUUUGAUUUUUCUAUAACUAUUUAAACACAUAUAAAACCUCUAAAAGAUUAAAGUUAUUUUUCUAUAAUUAUUACUUCAUGUUGAUGGGUCCCCGUGAAAAUAUUCUGUGGAGAUAGAAAUAUAAAACUGAAAUUAUUUUUUAAAAAUGUAAAAUAAAUGAACUCAUAAUUAACAGGAGACACAUAAUUGAUUUUAAUUGGGGGUCACAUAAUUGUAGAUAAAUUAGUAAAAUAGCCCAUUCAUUAAAAGAUAAUUUUGGUCUCACCUUAAAACAUACUUCAUCAUUAACUAAUAUAAAUAAGGUUACUAACGCGCAAAACUAAAAUACUCAAAAGGACCAAAGAUAAUAAAAACAAGUAAAUUGAACCAAAACUAUUAAUGGUAGUCUACAAGCUUGUUUUUGAUCCAUUUAAAACUGCUACGAAAGGAAGAUUUGAACUUAGCUUCAAUGGUAUACAUGUUGUAGGAUGCAAUUCUUUUUCUCCUUUUAACCUCUGGGUUACCAUCAGUGGCCAAAACAUCUCCUUCGAUGCUUGGACCAUUGAAACUAUAAGAUUUGGACUGCUCCUCCAACCCAACCUUAAUGUCUUGAUACGAUGUAGAACGCUGGUCAGACAAGGAUUUAUUUUUUUCCAUGUCCUAGUAAGAAUGCUUAUUUCAAUUCACUAGUCUAAUUGAAAAGAAGGGGAAAUUGUAUAUUGCUUGAAAAUUAUUCCAAUUUAAAGAAGGCAACAAUUAUUUUUCAUUUUUUGGUACAUUUCUCAAAAGGUCUACUUAUUUGGUGCGUUAUGUGUGUACUUGAAUUGUCGAC